ACAUGCAGUCGAGCGGAGAUGAGGUGCUUGCACCUUAUCUUAGCGGCGGACGGGUGAGUAAUGCUUAGGAAUCUGCCUAUUAGUGGGGGACAACAUUUCGAAAGGAAUGCUAAUACCGCAUACGCCCUACGGGGGAAAGCAGGGGAUCUUCGGACCUUGCGCUAAUAGAUGAGCCUAAGUCGGAUUAGCUAGUUGGUGGGGUAAAGGCCUACCAAGGCGACGAUCUGUAGCGGGUCUGAGAGGAUGAUCCGCCACACUGGGACUGAGACACGGCCCAGACUCCUACGGGAGGCAGCAGUGGGGAAUAUUGGACAAUGGGGGGAACCCUGAUCCAGCCAUGCCGCGUGUGUGAAGAAGGCCUUUUGGUUGUAAAGCACUUUAAGCGAGGAGGAGGAGCUCUAGAUUAAUACUCUAGAUGCUUGGACGUUACUCGCAGAAUAAGCACCGGCUAACUCUGUGCCAGCAGCCGCGGUAAUACAGAGGGUGCAAGCGUUAAUCGGAUUUACUGGGCGUAAAGCGUGCGUAGGUGGUCUUUUAAGUCGGAUGUGAAAUCCCUGAGCUUAACUUAGGAAUUGCAUUCGAUACUGGGAGACUAGAGUAUGGGAGAGGAUGGUAGAAUUCCAGGUGUAGCGGUGAAAUGCGUAGAGAUCUGGAGGAAUACCGAUGGCGAAGGCAGCCAUCUGGCCUAAUACUGACACUGAGGUACGAAAGCAUGGGGAGCAAACAGGAUUAGAUACCCUGGUAGUCCAUGCCGUAAACGAUGUCUACUAGCCGUUGGGGCCUUUGAGGCUUUAGUGGCGCAGCUAACGCGAUAAGUAGACCGCCUGGGGAGUACGGUCGCAAGACUAAAUAGAAAAUUUUUGGGGGGGGGGGGAGGGAG
rnacentral:rRNA from 1 species